UUCAACGCCGGAAAUCUCACCGGGGGCGACAGCAAUAUGAAGGUCAGGCUGAAGACCUUACCCGAUUAGCUGAGAGGUGGUGCAUGGCCGUCGUCAGUUCGUACUGUGAAGCAUCCUGUUAAGUCAGGCAACGAGCGAGACCCACGUCCACAGUUGCCAGCAUACCCUCCGGGGUGAUGGGUACACUGUGGAGACCGCCGCUGCUAAAGCGGAGGAAGGAGUGGGCAACGGUAGGUCAGUAUGCCCCGAAUCUCCCGGGCUACACGCGGGCUACAAUGGUUGGUACAAUGGGCAUCUACCCCGAAAGGGGAAGGAAAUCUCUUAAAGCCAAUCGUAGUUCGGAUUGAGGGCUGCAACUCGCCCUCAUGAAGCUGGAAUCCGUAGUAAUCGCGUUUCAACAGAACGCGGUGAAUACGUCCCUGCUCCUU
rnacentral:rRNA from 1 species